rnacentral:rRNA from 1 species
UACGUAGGGUGCAAGCGUUAAUCGGAAUUACUGGGCGUAAAGCGUGCGCAGGCGGUUCUAUAAGACAGAUGUGAAAUCCCCGGGCUCAACCUGGGAACUGCAUUUGUGACUGUAGAGCUGGAGUACGGCAGAGGGGAUGGAAUUCCGCGUGUAGCAGUGAAAUGCGUAGAUAUGCGGAGGAACACCGAUGGCGAAGGCAAUCCCCUGGGCCUGUACUGACGCUCAUGCACGAAAGCGUGG